rnacentral:rRNA from 1 species
UCUGGUUGAUCCCGCCGGACCCGACUGCUAUCAGAGUGGGAUUAAGCCAUGCGAGUUAACGUAGCAAUACGCGGCAUACGGCUCAGUAACACGUAGUCAACAUGCCCAGGGGACGUGGAUAACCUCGGGAAACUGAGGAUAAACCGCGAUAGGCCAAGAUUUCUGGAAUGAAUCAUGGUUUAAAUCUAUAUGGCCCCUGGAUUGGACUGCGGCCGAUCAGGCUGUUGGUGAGGUAAUGGCCCACCAAACCUGUAACCGGUACGGGCUUUGAGAGAAGGAGCCCGGAGAUGGGCACUGAGACAAGGGCCCAGGCCCUAUGGGGCGCAGCAGGCGCGAAACCUCUGCAAUAGGCGAGAGCUUGACAGGGUUACUCUGAGUGAUGCCCGCUAAGGGCAUCUUUUGGCACCUCUAAAAAUGGUGCAGAAUAAGGGGUGGGCAAGUCUGGUGUCAGCCGCCGCGGUAAUACCAGCACCCCGAGUGGUCGGGACGAUUAUUGGGCCUAAAGCAUCCGUAGCUUGUUCUGCAAGUCCUCCGUUAAAUCCACCUGCUCAACAGAUGGGCCGCGGUGGAUACUACAGGGCUAGGAGGCGGGAGAGGCAAGCGGUACUCAGUGGGUAGGGGUAAAAUCCUCUGAUCCACUGAAGACCACCAGUGGCGAAGGCGGCUUGCCAGAACGCGCUCGACGGUGAGGGAUGAAAGCUGGGGGAGCAAACCGGAUUAGAUACCCGGGUAGUCCCAGCUGUAAACGAUGCAGACUCGGUGAUGGACUAGCUCAAUGCUGGUCCAGUGCCGCAGGGAAGCCGUUAAGUCUGCCGCCUGGGUAGUACGGUCGCAAGACUGAAACUUAAAGGAAUUGGCGGGGGAGCACCACAAGGGGUGAAGCCUGCGGUUCAAAUGGAUUCAACGCC